rnacentral:rRNA from 1 species
UGAGGAAUAUUGGUCAAUGGACGAGAGUCUGAACCAGCCAAGUAGCGUGAAGGAUGACUGCCCUAUGGGUUGUAAACUUCUUUUAUAUGGGAAUAAAGUUUUCCACGUGUGGAAUUUUGUAUGUACCAUAUGAAUAAGGAUCGGCUAACUCCGUGCCAGCAGCCGCGGUAAUACGGAGGAUCCGAGCGUUAUCCGGAUUUAUUGGGUUUAAAGGGUGCGUAGGCGGCCCCUUAAGUCAGCGGUGAAAGUCUGUGGCUCAACCAUAGAAUUGCCGUUGAAACUGGGGGGCUUGAGUACAGUUGAGGUAGGCGGAAUUCGUGGUGUAGCGGUGAAAUGCUUAGAUAUCACGAAGAACUCCGAUUGCGAAGGCAGCUUACUAAACUGCCACUGACAUUGAUGCUCGAAAGUGUGGGUAUCAAACAGG